rnacentral:lncRNA from 1 species
UUUUUUCCCUUUAAAUGUGACAAUAUGUCUCUUUAAUCUUUUAUCUUUAUAACCUCCUUUUUUAUAACAUUGGUAGGAUUUUACAUAAUAUAGAUCGCUUGGUUUGACAAAAAGAUGGUUUCCAAAACUCACGACUCACGAGUCAUGAUUAUAAAGGUAUUAUUACUUAUAUAUAAGCGAUCAAUUAUUAAGACUGGUUAAAUUAUCAACAAAAGUUAAAAUGAUGAUCUGGAAAACUGUAGAUCGUGGUCGUGGAAACCGAGAACGUGGAAAACGUAGUGGACUUAGUUAAGUUCUCUUUCAACCAAAUCAUUCAAGCCAAUGGAAGUGGAAGUCUCGAUUGUAUCUGGUUCAUCUAAUGAACCUUAAGCUUCAUUUCACUUUGUAAUCUUUUUCUCAAAACUGUAUGAUCCAGUGUCAUGGUUUAUCUUACAUAAUCCACAUUUUGAAAAUCUAGACAAAAUAAAUAAAUCUAUCGCAUAAAACUUUU